GCCUGGGUGGCUCAAUCAGUUAAGCAUCUGACUUCUGCUCAGGUUGUGAUCUCACGGUUCGUGAGUUCGAGCCCCGCGUCAGGCU
rnacentral:tRNA from 1 species